rnacentral:snRNA from 7 species
AGCUUUGCACAGUGGCAGUAUUGUAGCCAAUGAGGUUUAUCCAAGGUGCGAUUAUUGCUGGUAGAAAAGAAGAGGAAAAGAAUAGCACCUACUUCUGACACUUUGGUUCUCGAGAAGUGCCAGUGGCUGCCUUCCCUUAGCAGUUCUCAAGCUCCUGCUUUCCACUUUAUCCAGUUGAGUUGAUUCA